GAGGGUGUAGCUCAAGUGGUGGAGUGCAUGCUUAGCAUGCAUGAGGUCCUGAGUUAAAUCCCAGUGCCUCCU
rnacentral:tRNA from 1 species